UGAAUCAGUGUGUGUGUUAGUGGAAGCGUCUGGAAAGGCGUGCGAUACAGGGUGACAGCCCCGUACACAAAAAUGCACAUAUUGUGAGCUUGAUGAGUAGGGCGGGACACGUGGUAUCCUGUCUGAAUAUGGGGGGACCAUCCUCCAAGGCUAAAUACUCCUGACUGACCGAUAGUGAACCAGUACCGUGAGGGAAAGGCGAAAAGAACCCCGGCGAGGGGAGUGAAAAAGAACCUGAAACCGUGUACGUACAAGCAGUGGGAGCACGCUUAGGCGUGUGACUGCGUACCUUUUGUAUAAUGGGUCAGCGACUUAUAUUCUGUAGCAAGGUUAACCGAAUAGGGGAGCCGAAGGGAAACCGAGUCUUAACUGGGCGUUAAGUUGCAGGGUAUAGACCCGAAACCCGGUGAUCUAGCCAUGGGCAGGUUGAAGGUUGGGUAACACUAACUGGAGGACCGAACCGACUAAUGUUGAAAAAUUAGCGGAUGACUUGUGGCUGGGGGUGAAAGGCCAAUCAAACCGGGAGAUAGCUGGUUCUCCCCGAAAGCUAUUUAGGUAGCGCCUCGUGAAUUCAUCUCCGGGGGUAGAGCACUGUUUCGGCA
rnacentral:rRNA from 1 species